AACCAGCAAAGAACCACAGAAAAGCUCCCAACAUGCUUCGAACCUCCUCAUCCUCUUCCUCCUCUUUUCCAUCCAUCGAUUCCUUCGAGGACCUCACCUCAAAAUCAACAACCAUCAACACCAUAAAGCUCCUCUGCAGCUAUGGAGGCAAAAUCCUUCCCCGCUACCCCGACAGCAAGCUCCGUUACGUCGGAGGCAACAACCGGCUGCUGGUCAUUGACAGAAACAUCCCCUUCUCAGUGCUACAAGCUAAGCUGGAGGAGCUCUGCGGGUGGAGCUCGAUGAGCCUACGAUGCAAGCUACCUAAAGAGGAUCUGGAUGCUCUAGUCUCCAUCACGUCUGACGAGGAUUUAGCAUAUUUAGUUGAGGAGUAUGAGCUUGGGAGAAAGGAUCAAGUUGUCCCGUUAAAGAUCCGUGCAUUUCUAUUCCCCUUGCCGUUUAUACUAGCUAAACCUCCGGUGAAAACAGUGCCCGACUGCAUGGGUGGGAGCUCGGCAUCGUCGAGAACUCAUCGCCCGUCUGCUGUGGAUCCGAGCAUGGGUGGCAGUAUCCCGUCCACCAUGGAAGCUAGUGGCAAUGAGUAAGCACCAUGUUCCGACCAGGUACUGUAGAACAUAAAUGGA
rnacentral:misc_RNA from 1 species